UUAAAAUUUAAGCCAACUGUUUAUCUAUGCUUAUCUUGAAAUAAUUCAAUAAAAAAUAGUCUCAUGAUUGCUUUAAUUCAAAUAGAUGACUAGUUUAGUGAAUUGGUCAGAAUGUUGAAUUUGAAUGAGAAAAAUAAAUAAUACCUAUGGAGAAUAAAUAAACUUAAAUUUCUUUUUUCUCUUGUUGGUUUUGAUAACAGCAGUUCUGUACUGUGUAGCCAUUCAUAAUACAAAAAAAUAUAAAGCUUUUAGAUUAGACUCUAAUUUUCUAAGAGAAAAGUGUAAUAAAAUUUUCUCUUUUAGAUUCGUCUAACAUAAAAUUCUGAUAUGUUACUUGAUUUUGCAAUAAUAUUCCAUUUCUGCUUGUAGGAAAGAGACCUUGAAGAGGAAUUAGGGGAUGAUUAUAUUUUAGAUCUCAAAAAAAAUUAUGUAAUAGAGGAUGAUCAGAAGUAUGAUAUUAUCCCUGAAUUGUGGGAAGGUCAUAAUGUUGCCGAUUAUAUUGAUCCAGACAUAA